AUCAGGGAUCUUGCGCAAUGAGCGAAAGCUAGACGCAGCGAUGCCGCGUGGGUGAGGACGUCCUCCGGGAUGUAAAGCCCUUUUCGGGGGGAAGAUGAUGACGGUACCCCCGGAAGAAGCCCCGGCUAACUACGUGCCAGCAGCCGCGGUAAUACGUAGGGGGCGAGCGUUGUCCGGAUUUAUUGGGCGUAAAGGGCGCGCAGGCGGCCGUUUAAGUCCGCUGUGAAAGACCGGGGCUCAACCCCGGAGUGUCAGCGGAGACUGGACGGCUGGGGUCUCGGAGAGGAGCGUGGAAUUCCGGGUGUAGCGGUGGAAUGCGUAGAGAUCCGGAGGAACACCGAUGGCGAAGGCAGCGCUCUGGCCGAGGACCGACGCUGAGGCGCGAAAGCUGGGGGAGCGAACGG
rnacentral:rRNA from 1 species